rnacentral:ncRNA from 1 species
GCGACCGCUCACUCCACUGUAUGAGCGGCGUACAUACAAAAAGGAGGUUCAACAACCCGCAAGGCUCGCGGUGCGGCAGUGUGGAGACCUGUCGUAAUGUCCCGCCCGGAUUUCCGGGGAGACGAGGCGCAUCCGGCGGAGGCCGGUGCGUCAGAGCUGUUUCUAUG